rnacentral:rRNA from 1 species
UGGGGAAUCUUGGACAAUGGGGGCAACCCUGAUCCAGCGACGCCGCGUGGGUGAUGAAGGCCUUCGGGUUGUAAAGCCCUUUCACCGGGGACGAUGAUGACGGUACCCGGAGAAGAAGCACCGGCUAACUCCGUGCCAGCAGCCGCGGUAAGACGGAGGGUGCUAGCGUUGUUCGGAAUCACUGGGCGUAAAGGGCGCGUAGGCGGCCAAGGCAGUCGGCUUUGUGAAAGCCCGGGGCUCAACCCCGGAGGUGCGGCCGAUACUCCUUGGCUCGAGGCCGGAAGAGGAGGGUGAAAUACCCAGUGUAGAGGUGAAAUUCGUAGAUAUUGGGUGGAACACCGGUGGCGAAAGCGGCUCUCUGGUCCGGACCUGACGCUGAGGCGCGAAAGCGUGGGGAGCAAAACA